UACGAAGGGAGCUAGCGUUGUUCGGAAUCACUGGGCGUAAAGCGCACGUAGGCGGCUUUGUCAGUCAGGGGUGAAAUCCCGGGGCUCAACCUCGGAACUGCCUUUGAUACAGCAAGUCUUGAGUUCGAGAGAGGUGGGUGGAAUUCCUAGUGUAGAGGUGAAAUUCGUAGAUAUUAGGAAGAACACCGGUGGCGAAGGCGGCCCACUGGCUCGAUACUGACGCUGAGGUGCGAAAGCGUGGGGAGCAAACAGG
rnacentral:rRNA from 1 species